UACGUAGGGGGCUAGCGUUGUCCGGAAUCAUUGGGCGUAAAGAGCGUGUAGGCGGUCCGGUAAGUCCGCUGUGAAAGUCGGGGGCUCAACCCUCGAAUGCCGGUGGAUACUGUUGGGCUAGAGUGCGGAAGAGGCGAGUGGAAUUCCUGGUGUAGCGGUGAAAUGCGCAGAUAUCAGGAGGAACACCUAUUGCGAAGGCAGCUCGCUGGGACGUUACUGACGCUGAGACGCGAAAGCGUGGGGAGCAAACAGG
rnacentral:rRNA from 1 species